GGAAAUCUUACCGGGACCGACUGCGAUCUCCCCAUGGGGGGNGANGAGNNNGNNNGANNANNNGANAGGAGCCUUUGGGCGGCGACAGAACGAACAGGGAAGCANNCCAGAAAAGNCAGGCAACGAGCGAGACCCACGCCCACAGAAGCCAGCGAACACACCGGAGAGAGGGGAACACAGAGGGGACCGCCGCGGCAAAAGCGGAGGAAGGAAGGGGCAACGGGAGGACAGCAUGCCCCGAAAAACCCGGGCAACACGCGAGCUACAAUGGUUGGUACAAUGGGUAUCUACCCCGAGAGGGGAUGGCAAUCUCCUAAAACCAAUCUUAGUUCGGAUUGAGGGCUGCAACUCGCCCUCAUGAAGCUGGAAUCCGUAAUAAUCGCGUUUCAACAGAACGCGGAGAAUACGUCCCUGGUCCUUGCACACACCGCUCGUUCUAACCACCCGAGUAGGGUUUGAAUGAGAGCGCUUAUCAAUCAGAGGCGUUCUAAUUUGGGCUUUGCUAGGGGGGUUAA
rnacentral:rRNA from 1 species